rnacentral:rRNA from 1 species
GACGUAGGGCGCGAGCGUUGUCCGGAUUUAUUGGGCGUAAAGAGCUCGUAGGCGGCUUGUCGCGUCGAAUGUGAAAACCCACGGCUCAACUGUGGGCUUGCAUUCGAUACGGGCAGGCUAGAGUUCGGUAGGGGAGACUGGAAUCCCUGGUGUAGCGGUGAAAUGCGCAGAUAUCAGGAGGAACACCGGUGGCGAAGGCGGGUCUCUGGGCCGAUACUGACGCUGAGGAGCGAAAGCGUGGGGAGCGAACAGG